GAGUUUGAUCCUGGCUCAGAUUGAACGCUGGCGGCAUGCCUUACACAUGCAAGUCGAACGGCAGCACGGGAGCUUGCUCCUGGUGGCGAGUGGCGAACGGGUGAGUAAUGCAUCGGAACGUAUCCUGGAGUGGGGGAUAACGUAGCGAAAGUUACGCUAAUACCGCAUAUUCUGUGAGCAGGAAAGCGGGGGACCUUCGGGCCUCGCGCUCUUGGAGCGGCCGAUGUCGGAUUAGCUAGUUGGUGAGGUGAAGGCUCACCAAGGCGACGAUCCGUAGCAGGUCUGAGAGGAUGAUCUGCCACACUGGAACUGAGACACGGUCCAGACUCCUACGGGAGGCAGCAGUGGGGAAUUUUGGACAAUGGGGGCAACCCUGAUCCAGCCAUGCCGCGUGAGUGAAGAAGGCC
rnacentral:rRNA from 1 species